rnacentral:rRNA from 1 species
GACGAACGCUGGCGGCGUGCUUAACACAUGCAAGUCGAACGCUGAAGCUCAGCUUGCUGGGUGGAUGAGUGGCGAACGGGUGAGUAACACGUGAGUAACCUGCCCUCUUCUUUGGGAUAACGCCCGGAAACGGGUGCUAAUACUGGAUAUUCACUGAUUCUCGCAUGGGGGUUGGUGGAAAGGUUUUUUCUGGUGGGGGAUGGGCUCGCGGCCUAUCAGCUUGUUGGUGGGGUGAUGGCCUACCAAGGCUUUGACGGGUAGCCGGCCUGAGAGGGUGACCGGUCACAUUGGGACUGAGCUACGGCCCAGACUCCUCCGGGAGGCAGCAGUGGGGAAUAUUGCACAAUGGGCGAAAGCCUGAUGCAGCGACGCCGCGUGAGGGAUGGAGGCCUUCGGGUUGUAAACCUCUUUCGCUCAUGGUCAAGCCGCAGCUUUGGGUUGUGGUGAGGGUAGUGGGUAAAGAAGCGCCGGCUAACUACGUG